rnacentral:rRNA from 1 species
GGGGAUAUUUAUAUAAGACGAGAAGACCCCAUGGAGCUUUAAACCCGACAGCACCCGCCUAGCCCACGCCCCUCUAUUGACCCGGCCCCUGUCUGCUCGGUUUUAGGUUGGGGUGACCACGGAGUAUAAAAUAACCUCCACGAAGAAAGGAGUAAUAAUCCUCAUCUAAGAGCCACACCUCUAAGAGCUAAUACAUUAACUUUUAAUGAUCCGAUAUUUGAUCAACGAACCAAGUUACCCUGGGGAUAACAGCGCAAUCCGCCUCAAGAGCUCCUAUCGACAGGUGGGUUUACGACCUCGAUGUUGGAUCAGGGUAUCCCAGUGGUGCAGCAGCUACCAAAGGUUCGUUUGUUCAACGAUUAAAACCCU